UACGUAGGUCCCGAGCGUUGUCCGGAUUUAUUGGGCGUAAAGCGAGCGCAGGUGGUUUAUUAAGUCUGGUGUAAAAGGCAGUGGCUCAACCAUUGUAUGCAUUGGAAACUGGUAGACUUGAGUACAGGAGAGGAGAGUGGAAUUCCAUGUGUAGCGGUGAAAUGCGUAGAUAUAUGGAGGAACACCGGUGGCGAAAGCGGCUCUCUGGCCCGUAACUGACACUGAGGCUCGAAAGCGUGGGGAGCAAACAGG
rnacentral:rRNA from 1 species